rnacentral:rRNA from 1 species
GAUGAACGCUGGCGGCGUGCCUAACACAUGCAAGUCGAACGGAGUCCAGCCUUAGAGACCUUCGGGUCAAAGAGGGGAAGACUGAGUGGCGGACGGGUGAGUAACACGUGGGCAACCUGGCUCAUAGAGGGGGAUAACAGAGAGAAAUUUCUGCUAAUACCGCAUAAGCACACACUGCCGCAUGGCAGAGUGUGAAAAGAGAAUCGCUAUGAGAUGGACCCGCGUCUGAUUAGCCAGUUGGCAGGGUAAGAGCCUACCAAAGCGACGAUCAGUAGCCGAUUUGAGAGGAUGAACGGCCACAUUGGGACUGAGACACGGCCCAAACUCCUACGGGAGGCAGCAGUGGGGGAUAUUGCACAAUGGGGGGAACCCUGAUGCAGCGACGCCGCGUGAGUGAAGAAGUAUUUCGGGAUGUAAAGCUCUAUCAGCAGGGAAGAUAAUGGCAGUACCUGAAUAAGAAGCCCCGGCUAACUACGUG